UCUCUAGUCGUUUUGGCUGCAGGUCUGCCUU
rnacentral:piRNA from 1 species